GACAGAGGGGGCAAGCGUUGCUCGGAAUUACUGGGCGUAAAGGGCGCGUAGGCGGGAUGGUAAGUCGGUCGUGAAAUCCCUCGGCUCAACUGAGGAUCGGCGAUCGAUACUGCUGUUCUUGAGGAUUGCAGAGGAGACUGGAAUUCCCGGUGUAGCGGUGAAAUGUGUAGAGAUCGGGAGGAACACCGGUGGCGAAGGCGGGUCUCUGGGCAAUUCCUGACGCUGAGGCGCGAAAGCGUGGGGAGCAAACGGG
rnacentral:rRNA from 1 species